rnacentral:rRNA from 1 species
AUUGAACGCUGGCGGCAGGCUUAACACAUGCAAGUCGAGCGGGGAAAAGUAGCUUGCUACUGGACCUAGCGGCGGACGGGUGAGUAAUGCUUAGGAAUCUGCCUAUUAGUGGGGGACAACAUCUCGAAAGGGAUGCUAAUACCGCAUACGUCCUACGGGAGAAAGCAGGGGACCUUCGGGCCUUGCGCUAAUAGAUGAGCCUAAGUCGGAUUAGCUAGUUGGUGGGGUAAAGGCCUACCAAGGCGACGAUCUGUAGCGGGUCUGAGAGGAUGAUCCGGCACACUGGGACUGAGACACGGCCCAGACUCCUACGGGGGGCAGCAGUGGGGAAUAUUGGACAAUGGGGGGAACCCUGAUCCAGCCCUGCCGCGUGUGUGAAGAAGGCCUUUUGGUUGUAAAGCACUUUAAGCGAGGAGGAGGCUACCGAGAUUAAUACUCUUGGAUAGUGGACGUUACUCGCAGAAUAAGCACCGGCUAACUCUGUGCCAGCCGCCGCAGUAACAC